CCUGAAUGAUCCAAAAGGACCUGAUUUCCAAAUCUGUGGAAAGUGGAACUACCAUUCUUGAGAGCAAGAGUCUUACUGUGUGUCCAAGGUCAUGGGGAUAAACAAAACCUCAGACAGUACUUCAUCCCAACUGAAAACCGGAAGACAGUUGCUGAGGACAGACCUGCAUGGUGCACCACUUCCAGAAGGGAGUAGCUCUAUUUGAGCAAAAGCUUUGGAAAAAGAGACAAGGAGGCCAAAGAGGAAACAGCAACAACCAAUUGAAUGUGGCCAGGACUAUGGAUCCAGCCUUAGUCUUUGCAGCCACCCAGUAGAAGCAAUGGCAGUCUGAAGCCUCCCCACAACAUGGAAUUCUGAGAGGGCCAUGGCGGCUGCAGCUGCCCCAGAGAUAAUUACAAAAAUCCCAUCAUUCUGGAGCUUUCCUUGAUUAAUUCAUAGAGGACAACAUAAUCUCCCUUAGAGAAGGUGAGCAAGGUUUUGAAGUUUUUUCUGCGCCUCUGACCAGAGGAUUGGAGAAAAUAUUUCUCCCUCAACACUAUCUCAGAGCAACUCUGCCGGAGACCCAGUUUGAGAAGACGGACAGAACUGGAUUCCAGCAAGUGACUCACUGAGUCACUUCCAGAUGGAUUUGACAAUAUUUAUUAAUUGCCCCCGUUACAUUUAUGUACACAUCUUUAAAUUCUGUUGUUUCUCUCAAACUGUGAUUUAUUUCAAUGUCUUUAUCGCCCACUAGAUUAUGAACAGUGAUGUGUGAAAACUCAAUUGUAUCCUCCCAAAAACUUACUAGUGUGCUCUGAACAGAUGCAGUGCUCGGUAAAUAUUAUUGGCUGAUUAAUUGUGAAAUUAAAGCUGGUACCAUCCAGAUGCAUUGUAGUAAGUCAUUGAUUUGUACAUAUUAUUUGGAAGUCAGUACUUUGCCUUCAUUAAUGGGUCAAUUCUGAACUUUGGGAUAUUGAUUUCCCUUCAGUUAUAUUUUUUCAGGUGAGUCAACCCAUGUCUAAUAAAACUGCCUUGUUAUUCAGAACUCUUUGUCUCCUUUCUCCCCAAUAUUUCCUUCCAUCCAGUUUGCCCAGCAGGAACAACAAC